UCAUAUGGAUGAGCAAAGAAAGUGGUUUCUUGAGAUAGCAUCUACUCUUGAUGAAGACAAUGUGAA
rnacentral:pre_miRNA from 1 species